rnacentral:lncRNA from 1 species
GGGGCAGUUACUCUAGCAAGCAAUUGUGAUUGCUGAUGGGUGAAAGCAAUAUGGUGACUUAGCUUCUUCUACAAUGUAGAUCAAACAAUGUGACAUGAGUAUCACUAACCUCCCUGAAACCCUGCUGGGGGCAUUGAAGUGUCAUAGUCUAUUAAAUCGGUAGCACGUGCUUGUUACCGUGGCUCAGUGAUUUUGAAUGUUAACAAAAGCUCAGGCUUCUGAACAGAAACAAAUUGAAGAGACUAUAUUUGAACACGGACUUGGGAUGGGGUGAUUCCCCCCCCCCCUUCCUUGGUCUGCUUUAAGAUUAGACUUUUGUACAUGCUAGUUAAUUUGAAUGUAGGUGUAAGCUGUGGAUUUUAUAGUAUAUUGGGUUUUUAAAACACUCAAAAACCUGGGAUUUAAAUGGGUUCCAGUAAUACUAUAUACUAAGGUGCUUGCAUUGUAUUUCAUAAAUCUUGUUGCAUCCAAAAUUAUUAUUUUUUUUUUAAUGAAAACUAAGUUCAGAGGUGUGAUGCCAGAAUGUAUUAUCAUACUGUUAGGCCCUUGGAGCAGAUCCCGGUGCUUUCUGAAAGAUGAAAGUAAUGUAAUGGGUACUCUUCAUCCAGGGCUGCUUGCAGCCUAUCAGCAAUGCAUACUCUGACUCUCCCUAAUGAAGAGAUGCGUGUGAUUAGUUUUGGUCUUUAACCUUAAUGGGGGUGCAUGUCUCCUAUUGUUAAUCAUUGUCAGCUGCAGUGACAGGAUCCACAGUCCUGCAUUUACUGCUGCCUUUUGUGUUAAUGAUUUUGGACAGGUUUUAGAGUUCUGGGGUGUUUGUUCUGGCCCUUUUCUUGGUUUUGGCUUUAGCUGAUAAUGUUUAGUGCUGUCUAGCUAGUGCAGUUCUUAAUGGCUCCCCACUAGGGAGAGAAUAUGGAGGAUUUAACUGCUCCUUUUUAUCAUCUGUCAUUGCUGCUAGAUAAUGAUUGGCAAUUUUUUAGACUCAAAUGUGCAGACCUCAACAGCGAUUGGUAAACACCAACCUUAGAAAUGUUUUUGAACACCAGUGCUGGAGAAAAAAAUGAAGGUGAAAUGGGCUCGGACGUAGACUAGGGAUAAUUGGAGAAAGGGGAAAGAAUGCAAAACGAUAUAGUAUCCCUUAUGGAUGGUCCAUGUGCAACAGAGAACUAUUUGUAUACCUGUGGCAGUAAUGAUUCCGGUGGGGGGGCUGGGAGAACAACCUGGAACUUGAAUUUUAAGGAUGAGCUUUGUGUUUCUUGUGCCUGUGCCAGGUAUAUAGUGAAGGCUAAUGACUUCUCCCUUAGAAGAACCUUUUUUUUUUUUCCUUCUCUGCUGUCCCAAUAAUGCAUAGAUGAGGCCUUGGAAGACAAAAAUUGAAGCAAAUACAUAGGAUUGCAGGGUAAAGAACUGCAGUGUUGUGUGCUUGCUGUAGUUAGGGUCAAAGCACUCAGAAUGAAAGUCACUCAAUUGACUGGGGAAGCAGGGAACUUGUAAACUGAUAGCUGCUUUAGUCAGGUAAACGUUGUCACAUACCUUCACAUAAGGGAUAGUAUAUUAUGGGUUGCAAACUUCAUUGUGCUCAGACUGGUGAAUAUAGGAUUUAGGCUUUUGCAUUUUAAAGAAGGUAUUAGGCUUUUGCAUUUUGAAGAAGAUAGUUUUCUUUCUAAUUCUGUCAUCUACUUAUUACUUACAUAAAGAAUAAUUUUAGAUCCCCUGCAUAAAAUUUCUUCCUUUUUUAUUUUUUUUUAAAUGCUAUAACUUAUUCCAGUCUUUAAUCUCUGGAAUUUUGCUCUUUAGAAUUUGGAAGUUAACUAGCAUUUUUCAAGCCUUUAUUACAUACCCUUGUCUUUCAUACUAACUUUUUUUUAUUAUUCUUUAGGUAAGAAUGAUUGAUGUUGGCUGACUUUGGAAUCUUUCUUACUUGAAGUGGAAUUAGAUGUUCUCAAGACAUACAACAUGGGCCAUCCAAGAAGGAAAGCCACAAAUUGCUUAGAUUGACAGACUCUUGGAUCAAGUGAGCUGUACCAGAAAAUGAGUCAAGACCAAAGAGGAAUGAACUUGACAUUAAUAAAGAUACAUUAUUUU